UGAGCAAUGGAGAGUUGGCCCACAUCAGCCCAAAGGUUGUGGUGCUGUGGGUGGGAACCCAUAAUCACGGUCACACUGCAGAACAGAUCUGUGGAGGCAUUAUGGCCAUAGUCCAAAUCAUCAAGGAUAAGCUGCCGAAGGCUUACACUCUCGUACUGGGGUUGCUGAACUGAUGUACACAGUUCAGGUGUCAGUGCCACGACAGUGGAGGACCCAGGGAGAAUUGGAGACCAGAUCAACCCCCCCAUAGACACCAUGACAGACUGUGUGACUGUAAGGGUGCGUUAUUAGGAAGUCAUUGCUAUUUGUCCAGUAAGUGGAUACAAUCCUAGCCUGCUUGUCAGUCUGUUUCUGACAGCCCAUGAUAGUAAUAUUUUGGGAUGUCAAUUAGUUUGCAGAAACUGAAUGGCACUCAGACUAAUACAGCAGUUUACUUUGUGUCACUUCGGGAGGAGGAGAGAGGGUUUGAGUGGAGGCUGCCUCUGCCAGGAGUCUGCCAAAUCCUACCACAAGCCCAGGAAGGCCUGUAAGUAGUCCUGUGUUUCUGUAACACUAACAGCAGUACAUUGAAGAGUUUCUACAAUGCCUGUUACAGUGGAAUCUCUCAAAGUCACCAAUCUGUGUAUCUCUCUCCCAUCCUAUUCUCUCCGACCUAUACACAA